rnacentral:rRNA from 1 species
AUACGUAGGGGGCAAGCGUUGUCCGGAAUUACUGGGCGUAAAGCGCACGCAGGCUGACUUAUAAGUCGGUAGUCUAAUGCGGAGGCUCAACUUCCGUUUAUCUAUCGAUACUGUAAGACUAGAGUAUGUGAGAGGGAAGUGGCAUUCCCGGUGUAGCGGUGAAAUGCGUAGAUAUCGGGAGGAACACCAGUGGCGAAGGCGACUUCCUGGCACAAUACUGACGCUCAUGUGCGAAAGCUAGGGUAGCGAACGGGAUUAGAUACCCCGGUAGUCCUAGCCGUAAACGAUGGAUACUAGGUGUGGGUGUCGCAGGGCAUCCGUGCCGCAGCUAACGCGUUAAGUAUCCCGCCUGGGGACUACGGUCGCAAGACUGAAACUCAAAUGAAUUGGCGGGG